CAAUGGGCGAAAGCCUGACGGAGCAACGCCGCGUGAGGGAUGAAGGCCUCUGGGCUGUAAACCUCUUUUCUCAAGGAAGAAGAUCUGACGGUACUUGAGGAAUAAGCCACGGCUAAUUCCGUGCCAGCAGCCGCGGUAAUACGGGAGUGGCAAGCGUUAUCCGGAAUUAUUGGGCGUAAAGCGUCCGCAGGCGGCCUUGUAAGUCUGUCGUUAAAGCGUGGAGCUUAACUCCAUUUAGGCGAUGGAAACUGCAGGGCUUGAGUGUGGUAGGGGCAGAGGGAAUUCCCGGUGUAGCGGUGAAAUGCGUAGAUAUCGGGAAGAACACCAGUGGCGAAGGCGCUCUGCUGGGCCAUAACUGACGCUCAUG
rnacentral:rRNA from 1 species